rnacentral:rRNA from 1 species
UGCAGUCGACGAUGAUGCCCACUUGUGGGUGGAUUAGUGGCGAACGGGUGAGUAACACGUGAGUAACCUGCCCUUGACUCUGGGAUAAGCCUGGGAAACUGGGUCUAAUACCGGAUAUGACUGAUCAUCGCAUGGUGGUUGGUGGAAAGCUUUUGCGGUUUUGGAUGGACUCGCGGCCUAUCAGCUUGUUGGUGGGGUAAUGGCCUACCAAGGCGACGACGGGUAGCCGGCCUGAGAGGGUGACCGGCCACACUGGGACUGAGACACGGCCCAGACUCCUACGGGAGGCAGCAGUGGGGAAUAUUGCACAAUGGGCGCAAGCCUGAUGCAGCGACGCCGCGUGAGGGAUGACGGCCUUCGGGUUGUAAACCUCUUUCAGUAGGGAAGAAGCGUAAGUGACGGUACCUGCAGAAGAAGCGCCGGCUAACUACGUGCCAGCAGCCGCGGUAAUACGUAGGGCGCAAGCGUUAUCCGGAAUUAUUGGGCGUAAAGAGCUCGUAGGCGGUUUGUCGCGUCUGCCGUGAAAGUCCGGGGCUCAACUCCGGAUCUGCGGUGGGUACGGGCAGACUAGAGUGAUGUAGGGGAGACUGGAAUUCCUGGUGUAGCGGUGAAAUGCGCA